GAUGAACGCUGGCGGCGUGCCUAAUACAUGCAAGUCGAGCGAACGGACGAGAAGCUUGCUUCUCUGAUGUUAGCGGCGGACGGGUGAGUAACACGUGGAUAACCUACCUAUAAGACUGGGAUAACUUCGGGAAACCGGAGCUAAUACCGGAUAAUAUUUUGCACCGCAUGGUUCAAAAGUGAAAGACGGUCUUGCUGUCACUUAUAGAUGGAUCCGCGCUGCAUUAGCUAGUUGGUAAGGUAACGGCUUACCAAGGCAACGAUGCAUAGCCGACCUGUGAGAGUGAUCGGCCACACGAGAACUGAAACACGGUCCAGACGCCUACGGGAGGCAGCAGUAGGGAAUCUGCCGCAAUGGGCGAAAACCUGACGGAGCAACGCCGCGUGAGUGAUGAAGGUCUUCGGAUCGUAAAACUCUGUUAUUAGUGAAGAACAUAUGUGGAAGUAACUGUGCACAUCUUGACGGUACCUAAUCAGAAAGCCACGGCUAACUACGUG
rnacentral:rRNA from 1 species